GAAAUGCGAUACGUAAUGUGAAUUGCAGAAUUCAGUGAAUCAUCGAAUCUUUGAACGCACAUUGCGCCUUCUGGUAUUCCGGGAGGCAUGCUUGUUUGAGUAUCAGUAAACACCUCAGCUUCCCCCCUUGUGGUGGUGCAAGUUGGACUUGAGCACUUUCCAAACCCUUUCCCCUCAUAUAACACUUGAGAGGAAAAUGUGCGGAAUGCUUAAAAUGCAGGUGCAGCUGGGAAUUCCCAUUUCAUUGUCCUAGGCUACAAGCAUUUCUUGUUUAAUCCGGUCAAACGGAUUAUAUCUUUUUGCUGCAGCCAAACGAUAGUUGGGUUCCAAAACGCUGACUGAUGCAGGAUAUCUGACAGAUUUUCGAGGGGGGUUUUUCUCCUUCGAUCUUUUUGUUUGUUCCACUCGAUCUCAAAUCAAGUAAGACUACCCGCUGAACUUAAGC
rnacentral:misc_RNA from 1 species